UUAGCUUGUUGGCGGGGUAACGGCCCACCAAGGCGACGAUCAGUAGGGGUUCUGAGAGGAAGGUCCCCCACAUUGGAACUGAGACACGGUCCAAACUCCUACGGGAGGCAGCAGUGAGGAAUAUUGGUCAAUGGACGAGAGUCUGAACCAGCCAAGUAGCGUGCAGGAUGACGGCCCUAUGGGUUGUAAACUGCUUUUAUAAGGGAAUAAAGUGAGUCUCGUGAGGCUUUUUGCAUGUACCUUAUGAAUAAGGACCGGCUAAUUCCGUGCCAGCAGCCGCGGUAAUACGGAAGGUCCGGGCGUUAUCCGGAUUUAUUGGGUUUAAAGGGAGCGUAGGCCGGAGAUUAAGCGUGUUGUGAAAUGUAGAUGCUCAACAUCUGCACUGCAGCGCGAACUGGUUUCCUUGAGUACGCACAAAGUGGGCGGAAUUCGUGGUGUAGCGGUGAAAUGCUUAGAUAUCACGAAGAACUCCGAUUGCGAAGGCAGCUCACUGGAGCGCAACUGACGCUGAAGCUCGAAAGUGCGGGUAUCGAACAGGAUUAGAUACCCUGGUAGUCCGCACGGUAAACGAUGGAUGCCCGCUGUUGGUCUGAAUAGGUCAGCGGCCAAGCGAAAGCAUUAAGCAUCCCACCUGGGGAGUACGCCGGCAACGGUGC
rnacentral:rRNA from 2 species